rnacentral:rRNA from 1 species
AAUGAACGUUGGCGGCGUGGAUUAGGCAUGCAAGUCGAGCGAGAUCUGUAGCAAUACAGUGAAAGCGGCGAAAGGGAGAGUAAUACGUAGGUACCUGCCCUCGGGUCCGGGAUAGCUGCGGGAAACUGCAAUUAAUACCAGAUGACGUCUGAGGACCGAAGGUGUGAUUCCGCCAGGGGAUGGGCCUGCGUCCUAUCAGCUAGUUGGGGUGGUAAAGGCGCACCAAGGCAAAGACGGGUACGGGGUGUGCGAGCAUGCCCCCGCUCACUGGGACUGAGACACUGCCCAGACACCUACGAGUGGCUGCAGUCGAGAAUCUUCCGCAAUGGGCGAAAGCCUGACGGAGCGACGCCGCGUGUGGGAUGAAGGCCUUCGGGUUGUAAACCACUGUCAGUGAGGAGCAAAUGGCUAGGGGUUCUCCCCUAGUCUUGAGCGAUCCGCAGAGGAAGCACAGGCUAAUUCCGUGCCAGCAGCCGCGGUAAGAC